AGCCUUGGAAAUCCAUCUGACACACAUGUUGUAUCAGAGGAGGGAAUAUUUCAUGGCCUAGUUAAGACAUGGGAAGCAUGUCAUAGCAUUGAAUAAAUAUGCCCUGUAGAGUGUGCAUAGUUGGAAGAGCAUGAGUAUUGAUGUAAAGCCCUAUAUUAUGGAAGUGAUUUGGGAUAUUGAUUUGCUUCAGUACUUAGCAGUCCUCUCCUUGCAUAUCUCCUCCAUUUCUAAGGUACUUUAAAGAAACGGACAAGUGGAAACCAUUCAGAAGAGACCCCCCCUCCAUGAAAGAAAGCUCUUUUGGUUUCUGUUCUGAACUCAUAGCAGUAUAAGCAAUCCCAGGUGAACCAUUGAUGAUGCUCAGGGCUUUUAAAGCUCUUCUGCCUAUCCACACUUGGGCCCACUGAGCACAGCUGCUGCUGGUGUCAGGUUCUUCACCUGCAUGAUGCUGGCAAGGGAAUUGAGGAUUUCCACCUGCUCAUCAUUCUGUGGAAUCACACGAAACACCUUCUGUCUGGAAAGGGAGAAAAGGAUUGGAUUUGAAACAGAUGCUACUUAACAUGUGAGCAGGUAAUGGAUAAGGAGAGAAAAGAAUGGCAGUAAUGAGAUCUUGGGUAUGGAGCAAAAAAAAGGCAGCUCUCAUGACUUUGGGAUGAGUUUGUACCACUGCUAUUGACUCAUCAGCUUCCAACCCUGAAAUCAGAUCUGCUAGGAAGGAAUGAAGAAGGAGUAGAGAGAGAGACCACACUUUGAUCCACCGCCUCCUGAAACAUCACAGCUACCUGAAAUCCUUUCAAUUUCUGUGAAUUAUUUAAAAUGUUGGGUUUUUUCUUAAAAAGUAUAUAUUUUGAUGUGGAAAUGUUGCUGUAGUGUCUCAAGGAAAAGGCGGAAAAGACAUCCCAAGGCCCAGUGCUGUGUUCUGCAGGCAGUAUGUCACACCCGUGAUGUUCUGUGACUAAGCACUCCAGCCAUGGAGCAGCUCAGCUGCUUGUUUGAUGCAAAUGCCAUUAGGAGAUCUGGUCCAGGAGCCUGGCCAGAUUAAAAAAAUAAUUCAAGUAUGUAAAAAUAUGGAAUAUAUACCUAUAUGCUAUUUUUCCCCUAUAAAACUCCAUAAUACUCCUACCUUGAGAAAUUUCAUAGUGAAAGAUGAUGUUCCUUCCCUGUUGUGCUUAGCUGGUUUUUACUACUAUGCAGCAGACUGCCUGUAGAAGGGUUGGGGAAUUUUUUCCUCUUGGUUUGCUGCCAAAGAUUUUCCUACCUAAGCAAAGCUGACGCUUGGUAUGUUCAGGAUGUUGCAGUAUGUUAUAUGUCAAACAUUUGACUUUGUUUUCUCACUGGAAGGCUUGCAACAGAAGUUUGGGAUUUUGCUUGUUUCUGAUUCAUACACAAUUUUAAAUUAAAUAUUUUGCUUCCUUUAUGCUACCUUUGUAUUUUCUGAAUGAAGUUAAUUGCUGGAACUUCUCUCAUGUUUGAAGAAACUGGUAAUGGUUAUUCAAUCAGGGAAAUCAGAAUAGGUCAUGAUGUUCAAUACCUCCCCCUCACUGAAUAACAGGCUUCUGAAAAUUGAAAUAAGAGAUUUUGUCAUGAAACAAAGGUGAUUAGUUUGGCUUACUGCAAAUAAUUCUGGAUUGAAUUAAGAAUGUAUGCAGAAAGAUGAGAAAGUGCUCUCUUCAUCAACUUUCUCCUUCAUUAUAUUCAAAGAUGGGACCCUAACAUCCAAAAUAGUUAGAAUUGUAGUCUAUCUGUCACAUUUCAUUAAAUACUGAUAUGAGUGGGGGGUGGGUGGAAGGUGGAUCACUUUGUUCAAGGCAGAUUCAUCACA